rnacentral:misc_RNA from 1 species
GUGAAUCAUCAAAUCUUUGAACGCAAAUUGCACUCUCUGGUAUUCCGGAGAGUAUGCCUGUUUGAGGGUCAGUUUAAAUAAAAAUCUGUGUGGUUGCUGCCUUUCGUGGUUACGCAUCGGAUUUGUGUCGUCUUGCCUUCGGUUAAGUGACCUAAAAUUUUGCAUGCUUUUUUUCGAACGUAUUUAAAUGUUUUUUCUUAUGUUUUCACUUUCGGAUACUAGGUGUGUUCAUUCUCAU